GACGAACGCUGGCGGCGUGCUUAACACAUGCAAGUCGAACGGAAAGGCCCUGCUUUUGUGGGGUGCUCGAGUGGCGAACGGGUGAGUAACACGUGAGUAACCUCCCCUUGACUUUGGGAUAACUUCAGGAAACUGGGGCUAAUACCGGAUAGGAGCUCCUGCUGCUUGGUGGGGGUUGGAAAGUUUCGGCGGUUGGGGAUGGACUCGCGGCUUAUCAGCUUGUUGGUGGGGUAGUGGCUUACCAAGGCUUUGACGGGUAGCCGGCCUGAGAGGGUGACCGGCCACAUUGGGACUGAGAUACGGCCCAGACUCCUACGGGAGGCAGCAGUGGGGAAUAUUGCACAAUGGGCGGAAGCCUGAUGCAGCAACGCCGCGUGCGGGAUGACGGCCUUCGGGUUGUAAACCGCUUUCGCCUGUGACGAAGCGUGAGUGACGGUAAUGGGUAAAGAAGCACCGGCUAACUACGUG
rnacentral:rRNA from 1 species